CCCUGGGUGGUGAAAUGGUUAAUAUGCUCAGUUGUUAACUGAAAGGUUGGAGGUUCAAGCCCACUCAGGGG
rnacentral:tRNA from 1 species